UUUUUUUUCUUCAUGUGUAACUCCGGAGUGACUCAGCUGACUUCAGUGAAUGCCCUGUGGAACUGUGCUAGCUGGAAACCAGCCUCACUCCUGCAAGGGAUGCAGCUACCUGUGCACGCUUCCAUAUCCGUACCACCGUGGAACUUUUUUUUGCUGCGACAUUGUAAUGGGAGGUGGAGACACCUCGAGGAGAAGGUCGAAACAGACAGCAGCAGUUGCAGGCAGUAAUGUCUGUCUAUGACUGGAGAAAAUCCGGCCCCAAUUACAGAAAUGUCAGGAAGACUCUCCAUGUUUCAGAUCUGUUUUGGUACAUUUUCACUUCAUGAUGCCGAGUACUGACGCUCUCAGGAGGUUGCAGAAAAAGGACAUAAAACCAUAAUAAGUUUUCAGAGAGAUUUGCUUGUUUAGCAUCGGAACAUGAAUUCGACAGGAGAGAUUUGGAUUCCAGUUCAAGUUUGUUUAUUAACUGCCCAAACUGAAUGAAAAACAACACUUCUCUGAGUACCGCUGGCCAGAACCUCCCGGCUCCAGGACUUGGGCUCUCUGUCACUCGUCUAUGAUGGAGGAGCAAAGGAGGCCCUGCUGCCCUGCCCCUCCCCUAACCUCCACUUCUGGGAACCUCCCUCUCCCCAUGAAUACCUCCAGUGUCUGCCACUGGUGCUGGGCAGCACUUUGCCAAUCAUCGUCCCCAGCAGGAAGUGGACAUGAUUUUGAUAGUGUCACUCUACCACACACGAGACGCUGAAUAGCAGCAAGAAAACUGAGCAGUUUUGUUAAUCUCGCUGGUGUUUGGCAACCUCUCAGCAGCAGCCACAGAGGCACUACAGCUGUCUGUCUGCAGCCCCAGGAAUACAAUGCUGCAUUAUUUUAUAUUUGGAGAUCAUCUUUCCAAUCAUAAGGUCUGGAAUGUUUUAUAUAUUUACUUCUCUGUGAGGAAAGCUUCCUACUGUCACUAAUCAACAGAUUUUUCAGGCUUGUGUGUUAUAGAGAUAAAUGCAUCGAUACUUCCAAAGGGCUUUGGGGUCCUGAGGUGGAAACUCAAAAUAUGACUUGUGUUUUGGAAAGGGCCUUGGAAUAAGUUACGUGGUACGGCGUGCCGUCACUCCCAGGGAUGCAGCUCCAACCACAUUCUCCAUCCAGCCCCUCCUGAAGAUUGCUUUUUCUCUUAUGUUCACAGAUGGUAGCUCACUUUGAUCCUGUUCUCUCUCCUCCAAUAUUGGUGGAAGAGAAUAAAAUAAUAAGCAUAAUGCAGAAGAUAUAUAUAUUUAUAGUGAAGUGUUUUAAUGCUGCCUCUGAGUGCUCUGCAUUAUCUGUUGUUUAUAAUGCACUUAAAAUUAUAACAGUCUGCUGGGAGUAAACCGAAGGAUGUUGUCCUUUUGUAUGCCCAGCACUGAUCUCUUGUUUCUUUUCUCCUUUCUGGAGUUUAAUUAGCACUGCUACUCUGCCUAAGUUGGCCAGUCAAUGGAGCAUGAAAGCCUGUGCCAGGUGACUUGCAAAACAUUAGUUCCCCACUUGAAGUAUUUGCCAUCCAACUCGGAGCAGGUGCCAGGAGGCAGCGCAGCAGCAGUGAGUUUGGGCAGUGAGGCAGGAGCAGCAGUGGCUUUCUGAUGGCCCAGAACUCACAGGGUAUGCAAGGGGAGGUGACUGCCACGUACUGCUGUGCUGCAACCAUGGCUGAGGUACAGCUCAGUCCCUGGGGUGGUCACUGAGCGUCUGGUUGUGAGCUCACUGAGUGCCAGGUGCGGGGCCAGAAGAUGAGAUAGUGCCACUGACUUCAGCUCAGGAAAUGGAGCGGGUGAAUGGUGGUUUGGCAGAGCUAGUGGGUGGAUGAAUUCAGCUCUCGGUUGCAGCCACAGCCUUUGGGAUGAGCCUAGGUAAUGAAAAAUACUAUUACGGGGGGCUAUUAAAACAAAGGUGUUCUGGUUCUCCUCCAGGAGGGAGGUGAGAUGUAUUGGCACAGGGAAAAGCAGUCGUUAAAGAAGAGGAAGAAUGGUCAUGUGAGGCUGGUGCUGACCUACAGCCGUUUGGCUGAGGAAGGCUCAUGCUGCGGUGCAGAGAUGGGUAGGAGAAUGUUUGGCAGCACCGUGGCACGGAGCAGGAACAGCCCAUCAGCCUGUGCCACCCCUGUCCCGAGAGAGGCUUUGUGUGCUGCUGUGUUCUGAUGUGUCACCACUGCUAACAAGCGCCCUUUCUCAGGGUGAUGCGCCGUGCAGGCAGGGCAGAGAGGCUCCGGUUCUCCUCUGACACCCAGCAUAUCAGUUGUUCCUCACUGGGCUCCUCCAUGCCAGCUCUCCCGAGCGGAGCGCAGGGCCCGCAGUACACGGGUGAACUUGCGAGACGCCGGAGCCUGGCACAGCUCUGUUGAUUUAUACGGGCGAGGAACUGCUGAGCGCCGGGGGCCGCUCCGCUCCACCCGCGGGGAAAGGCUCGGGCCGCGCCGAACCGCCGCUCCGGUGCUGCGAGCGGGGCCGUCCGGCAGCGGUUCGGGGUUCUGCCGGAGGAGCCGCCCGGACGGGCAGCGCCGAGC